AUCGAACGCUGGCGGCAGGCCUAACACAUGCCAGUCGAACGAGUGGCGGACGGGUGAGUAAUGUCUGGGAAACUGCCUGAUGGAGGGGGAUAACUACUGGAAACGGUAGCUAAUACCGCAUACCAUCGGAUGUUCCCAGAUGGGAUUAGCUAGUAGGUGGGGUAAAGGCUCACCUAGGCGACGAUCCCUAGCUGGUCUGAGAGGAUGACCAGACAAACUGGAACUGAGACACGGGCCAGACUCGUACGGGAGGAAGAAGUGGGGAAUAUUGCACAAUGGGCGCAAGCCUGAUGCAGCCAUGCCGCGUGUAUGAAGAAGGCCUUAGGGUUGGAAAGUACUUUCAGCGGGGAGGCGUUACCCGCAGAAGAAGCACCGGCUAACUCCGUGCCAGCAGCCGCGGUAAUUC
rnacentral:rRNA from 1 species